GACGAACGCUGGCGGCGUGCUUAACACAUGCAAGUCGAAGAAAGUGGCGAACGGGUGAGUAACACGUGGGUGACCUGCCCUGCACUUCGGGAUAAGCCUGGGAAACUGGGUCUAAUACCGGAUAGUGUGGGAUGGGCGCGCGGCCUAUCGGCUUGUUGGUGGGGUAAUGGCCUACCAAGGGGGCGACGGGUAGCCGGCCUGCGAGGGUGGACGGCGACAUUGGGACUGCGACACGGGCCAGAAUGCUACGGGAGGCAGUAGGGGGGAAUAUUGCACAAUGGGCGGAAGCCUGAUGCAGCGACGCCGCGUGGGGGAAGACGGCCUUCGGGUGGUAAACUCCUUUCACCAUCGACGCGGUAGAUGGAGAAGAAGCACCGGCUAACUACGUGCCAGCAGCCGCGGUAAUUC
rnacentral:rRNA from 1 species